ensembl:lncRNA
UACAGAUUCAUGCCUCUUACGCUGUUUUAAUUCACUGGCCAGCCUGCAUAUCUACAAACAUGUUGAUUAGGAGGAAAUAUUUUAUAAUAUCCUAAAACAAAUUCACAUACUGAAUAAUUCAUGCUAAGAUGUGCCAAAAUCAGAAGUUAUAAACAUGAUUGCUAAUACACAGCACUUAUCAAAAUAUGCAUACACAAUGUUAUGUCUUUAUAAAUCUUAACCAAAUAGAUUUAAUAAUCUCACUUGUGGAACUGCUCAUCGGCUAUCCCUAAAAUAUUUCCUAAACCUCAAAUUGACUCAAGCAACAAAACAGGGAGAUGAAACAUGGUAGAAUUCCUCCUCCCCCACCCACGUGACACACACACAACCAGCAGAUUUUGGGAUUUGGAUUUAGUGAAUUAAGAAUGUGGAUCACAUUUACGCAAUUCUGAUCUGGAAACAGAUACGGCAUAGAUUUUGAAAUGCUUAGAAAGGGAUUUUGCUUUGUGCUUGCACGUAGAAAAUCUCCUCAUUUGCCAUUCAAGUAGUAAUAUUUAGCUUUUAUUUAUUCCGUUGUGACUCUUGCUGCUAAGCAGCUGGAUUUUGUUUUCACAGUGAAGAACAAGCCUGUUUAGAUGAGAACACAGACUUCAAAAUAUAAAAGAUUCUCCUUGCAGCAGUGAUUCUGCAGCCCUGCCCAGUGGCAGUACCUUGGUGUCACAAUAAUUUAUCAUAUGCAGAACAGGGCAGUAUGAAUCCGACUUGCUUAAGUGCUUCAGUGGCCUUAAUUCACAGGCAGAAUACAGGACAGGGCACAACAAUUGCAAAGGGCACUACAAAUCCAUGUUUAUACAAUGCACCAAGCAUUUUUUUCUGGAGUUCCUGAAUAGAUAAGAGAAAAGAAACAGAAAAACAGGGCUCAGACCACAAUGUUUCUAUAGUGGGAACUGGGUAAAUCCCUUCUUGUUCUUGAGGCACAUUUGAGCUUGUCUCCCUCAAACCUGUAUUUGUACUCUUUCUUAUCUAAAAUGAGAAAAGGAGCAUUGAUUCAAGGCUCAAUCAUUUAUCUAAAUAGAAUGAACUAAAAUUUACAUUUUAAUUAAAUAUUAAUUAUCCCCAAGCAAACAAUAUUAAAAUAUAAUUUUAUUUUGUUUUUCUAUGUCCACUUGAAUGGUCGUUCUAUUAUUAAGUCAUUGUUUUUUUUUGUUGUUUGUUUUGUUUUCUGUGAAUUUGUUAUUCUGUUAUGGAACAUUCAGAAUGCAAUUCCUUCAACAGGAUACAGAAGAUACAGCAAUACUCAUCUAUCAUAUGCCAAAGUAGAAUACUGUGCAAAAAAUACAUGUUCUUUUUUAUUAUUUUUAAACACUAUGCACUCCUAAAACUUUUAAUCUUAGGAUCUUGAAGAGUUGCAAAAAAUCAAGAGCCAGGAUGUCACGUUAGGAAUAACUAUACAGUCUUUACAUUAAGCAUACAGUACAGUAGUGUCUAUAGGGCAGGGACAAGUCAUGCUUAGGUACAGUAAAAACAUUCAGUAGUCCCUAACGUGAAGAGUUCACGGUUUAACACUGUGGACCUACUCUAAACAAUCAGCUGCAGCUCCCUAACAGACCUGACCAAAGCAGGGCCCAUAGGAGCAGUGAUGGCUGUAAGAUUUAUGGCAGUACAGGGGAUGCUCUCUUUCCAUACAGCUGAAAAACACACCUCUCCUUUGUACAGACACAGAUCAUACUACACUACGAGGGAGUGCUGGCACCAUUUUACAUGUCUUUGCUAUUAUUCAAGCAGUCUGAAUGCUGCUGCCUGCUGCUCCCUUUCUCAGUUCCAGGACUGGGAAAGGAGUGUUCCUUCCCACCAGCUCUAUCCGUGGAGAAGAAUCAUAAUAGAUCUACAAUCCAGAUUUUAUGACUCUAAGUCCAGGCAGCAUUGAAUGGCAAGAAAUUAUACAAUUGAGAGUAUAUUUUAUAUCUGUAGAAAAUAAGAUAAUUUCAUUUCAUAGGAAAGUGUGAGGGACCUAUGCUUGGCACCCAGAGCAAGUAAGCACAGCUAUAGCUUUUUGAUGACAGCUGGAAAAGCUGCAGUGGGUAAUGCAGAACUGGCUCUUCCUGAGGAUCCUGAGGAUCCUCUUUUAUAAUCAAAUGUAACAUAAGAAAAUUUUGAUAUUGCAUUUCCAAGCUUCAGAAAAGGAGGGAAACCAUGUAAAUGGUUUCUUACCCAUGCCAAACACAAACAAUCCCCCUUUAAGGCAUAAACAAACAAACAAAC